rnacentral:tRNA from 1 species
AUCUUAGAAGCUGAUGUUUAGCGUUGGAUUUUUACUCCAGGGGAAGAAUUAUUUCCUAAGAUG